rnacentral:rRNA from 1 species
GAUGAACGCUGGCGGUGUGCCUAACACAUGCAAGUCGAGCGGCAGCGCGGGGUGCUUGCACCCUGUCGGCGAGCGGCGGACGGCUGAGUAACGCGUGGGAACGUGCCCCAAAGUGAGGAAUAACUGCCCGAAAGGGUAGCUAAUACCGCAUAUUAUCUUCGGAUCAAAGGAUUUAUCCGCUUUGGGAGCGGCUCGCGUCGGAUUAGGUAGUUGGUGAGGUAAUGGCUCACCAAGCCGACGAUCCGUAGCUGGUCUGAGAGGAUGACCAGCCAGACUGGAACUGAGACACGGUCCAGACUCCUACGGGAGGCAGCAGUGAGGAAUCUUCCACAAUGGGCGAAAGCCUGAUGGAGCAACGCCGCGUGCAGGACGAAGGCCUUCGGGUUGUAAACUGCUUUUAUAAGUGAGGAAUAUGACGGUAACUUAUGAAUAAGGAUCGGCUAACUACGUG